CCUUGUUUUCCCGCAAUAUCACUAGUUUUGUCUAUGUUUAAGCGGCUUUGUUUGUAAAAAGUUCAAAGUGUUCUUAAUUUAUUGGAAAUAUGGAUUAUUGAUAGUUGAAGUUACAGCAGAGAGAGAGAGAGAGUUUGACAGUAUGCGUGUUUGAAGAAGAUAAUGCUUUUAUUGGUACAUUCAAUUCCACGAACUGAGUGUUGAUUUCCUCGAUUUCAUUGACUCGAUGAUUCAUUCUUUGAUUUCUAAUGAUCAAUCAACUUAUUGAUUUACUGAUUGAUUGGACAUGUCAUGGAGCUUAAUAUAGAUGGAGAAGUAACUUAGACGUCAUACAGUUAAAUUCAGUAUUAUUGGAGUUGUUCUAGUGCAAGUUAUCAUGUGUUUCGGGAUUUUCCAAGAUUUGAUGCAUCCUGGGUAAUAGUAGCCAAAAUACCACC